UGUAAAAUUUUAAGGGUCGAACAGACCCAAUAUUUUAGCUUCUGCACCAAAAAUUUAUUUUAAUCCAACAUCGAGGUCGCAAUGUUUCCUUUUAAUAUGAACUUUCUAAAAAAAUUACGCUGUUAUCCCUAAGGUAAUUUUAUCUUAUAAUCAAAAAUAUUGGAUCAUUUAUACAUAAAUUAAUGACUUUAAAUAAAAAAAGUUAAUUAAAUUUUUCAAUCACCCCAACUAAAUUAUUUUAUAAAAAUAUCAAUUUAAUUCUUAAAUAAUAACUAAAUAAAAUAAUCAAACUCUAUAGGGUCUUCUCGUCUUUUAACAACAAUUAAGCUUUUUAACUUAAAAAUAAAAUUCUAUAUAAAUUUAAUAGAGACAGCUAUUUUCUUAUUCAACCUUUCAUUCCAGUUUUUAAUUAAAAAACUAAUGAUUAUGCUACCUUAGCACGGUCAAAAUACCACGGCCAUUUAAAAUUUCAGUGGGCAGGCUAGACCUUAAAUUUUAAACAAAAGGAC
rnacentral:rRNA from 1 species